GUUGGCAUGACUACUUUCUCCUUCUUUCCCUGCCUUUAAUAAUUAUAAUAAUGAUAGCUAAUAUUUAUAAAGUGUUUUAGAUUUCUGAAUUUCUGAAUUUUUCAUUUGAUCCUCUCAGCCAGAAUAUUUGAAGAAGUCAAGCAGGGAAUGGAAUUGGCAUAGCUUUGAGAAGCCAUACUUCACAUAAGUGAUGGGUAAGAGUAUAUGGUGAAGCCAGACAUCAGGGUCCUGUGUACCCUUGUGACACAAGACCUGACUUAAUAAAGGGAAGGACUCACAAGGUGUUUUUAAGGACACAACUAUUAUUAACCCUGUGACACAGAAUCGAUAGUGACAACUUUGGCUUAUGAUGUUCCUUAAGAUCUCCAGCUCUUUAAAACAUAGUCUACCACAUACAACUUCACUUGGGGACAUGUGAAAUAUAUGGAAGUAUAAUUGUGGAUACAUGGGGAAAACCAGCUUCCCUGUACACUGCUCCACCAUGAAGCAAUCUCCUCUCACUCCUCUGUUCUUUCUACUGACCACAGUCAGCUGGACAGUAUGAGGAGGGACAGCUUGGGAACCGUAGCCCAAGUGCUUCACCUCUGUAUGGCUUUCUUGUCUGACUACAAGGAGGCUUGGCUUGAGAAAGGCUGAUGCCCUUGUGAGAGUAACUGGCAACAGAUGUGCCUUCCUGGCACCACAGAUCAAAGGCUCUUUCUGGGCAGCAGGUGGCUCUCCUGAGAGCAGUGCAGAAAGGGACCCUGAGCAUGGAGGCAAGGAAGAAGGUAAUGAAGAAAGAAGGAAGGAAAGAAGAAACAAACAUUUAUUAAGUGUCUACUCUGUGCUAGGCUUUGUCCUGGUGCAUUCUAAAUAUCUCAUUUAAUCCUCACAACAACCCUGGGAAGUAGGCACUAUUAUGAUUCCAAUUUUAUAGAGGAGGACAUUGAAGCAGGUUAAAUUGACUUGCCCAAGGUCACACAGCUAAUGUCUGAGGCCAUAUUUGAACUCAGGUCUUCCUGACUCCAUGCCCAGUGCUCUACCUAUUCUGCCACCAGGAAAGAAGUUGAAGAGAAGUGAUAGGAAGCCUUAUUAAUAAAAUGGUGAA
rnacentral:lncRNA from 1 species